rnacentral:rRNA from 1 species
UACGUAGGGGGCAAGCGUUGUCCGGAUUUAUUGGGCGUAAAGAGCGUGUAGGCGGCCACACAGGUCAGCUGUGAAAACUCGAGGCUCAACCUCGAGACGUCGGUUGAAACCGUAUGGCUAGAGUCCGGAAGAGGAGAGUGGAAUUCCCGGUGUAGCGGUGAAAUGCGCAGAUAUCGGGAAGAACACCCGUGGCGAAGGCGGCUCUCUGGGACGGUACUGACGCUGAGACGCGAAAGCGUGGGGAGCGAAGAGG